rnacentral:lncRNA from 1 species
CCCCUUUUCACUUUUUAUCAGAUUAAAUCUCUGUUUAACCGUAUUGGAUACUUAUAAAUUUUUGAAUAUGUUUCUUUUUAUUAGAAUAAGUUAUCUUGGAUAUUUAUUAUGAACAGUAACUUGAGCAAAGAUAAAAAAAUAACGUCAAGUCCUCCCUGAAACUGAGUCGCCUUUCUAUUUAUUUUUGUACAGUGUAAAUACAGAAUUUCCUUAUGCUGGACCUACCUUUAUAUAUUUGUUGAUGAUUGUAUUAUGUUGUUUUAAUCUCUAUAUAUAUUUAUAUUGAGUGAAUUAGUUAACCUGGUCAAGUUUCUAGAGACUCAGAGUCUCUCUUUUUCCUUGUAAUGUCCGCCAUGUUUACUUGAGUCGCUUUACCGUAAACCGUCAAAGUGCACUGUCGUGAACGGCAAUAUUACGUUGAAAUAGAGUCUUUCGAGUCGCUUUUGACGUCAAUAUGAAGUCUUUCAAGUCUUUUUGUUGUAUAUAUACUGCACUACCAUUGAACGCGUUAGUCGUGAUCGGACUACCGUGGCAAAAGGUUGCUUACAAUCACAAGCCUAAUAAUAAAUCCUUUCUGCACUGUAACUUACAAUUUGAGUCUUGCACUUUAAAAGGUUAGGAAAUAUUUUGUCAGAGUUUUACUUUAUGUAAAACAUAGCUUUAUAAAUUUAUAUUAUAAGGGACUCUAGAGAUUAGAGAUCAUUAGACGUAC